UNGUAGGCGNUUUUGUCGCGUCUGCNGUGAAAGUCCGGGGCUCAANNCCGGAUNUGCGGUGGGUACGGGCAGACUAGAGUGAUGUAGGGGAGACUNGANUUCCUGGUGUAGCGGUGAAAUGCGCAGAUAUCAGGAGGAACACCGAUGGCGAAGGCAGGUCUCUGGGCAUUAACUGACGCUGAGGAGCGAAAGCAUGGGGAGCGAACAGGAUUAGAUACCCUGGUAGUCCAUGCCGUAAACGUUGGGCACUAGGUGUGGGGGACAUUCCACGUUUUCCGCGCCGUAGCUAACGCAUUAAGUGCCCCGCCUGGGGAGUACGGCCGCAAGGCUAAAACUCAAAGGAAUUGACGGGGGCCCGCACAAGCGGCGGAGCAUGCGGAUUAAUUCGAUGCAACGCGAAGAACCUUACCAAGGCUUGACAUGAACCGGAAAUACCUGGAAACAGGUGCCCCGCUUGCGGUCGGUUUACAGGUGGUGCAUGGUUGUCGUCAGCUCGUGUCGUGAGAUGUUGGGUUAAGUCCCGCAACGAGCGCAACCCUCGUUCUAUGUUGCCAGCGCGUUAUGGCGGGGACUCAUAGGAGACUGCCGGGGUCAACUCGGAGGAAGGUGGGGACGACGUCAAAUCAUCAUGCCCCUUAUGUCUUGGGCUUCACGCAUGCUACAAUGGCCGGUACAAAGGGUUGCGAUACUGUGAGGUGGAGCUAAUCCCAAAAAGCCGGUCUCAGUUCGGAUUGGGGUCUGCAACUCGACCCCAUGAAGUCGGAGUCGCUAGUAAUCGCAGAUCAGCAACGCUGCGGUGAAUACGUUCCCGGGCCUUGUACACACCGCCCGUCAAGUCACGAAAGUUGGUAACACCCGAAGCCGGUG
rnacentral:rRNA from 1 species